GACGAACGCUAGCGGCGUGCUUAACACAUGCAAGUCGAGCGGUAAGGCCCUUCGGGGUACACGAGCGGCGAACGGGUGAGUAACACGUGGGUGAUCUGCCUUGCACUUCGGGAUAAGCCUGGGAAACUGGGUCUAAUACCGGAUAUGACCUUCCAGUGCAUGCUGGUUGGUGGAAAGAUUUAUCGGUGCGAGAUGGGCCCGCGGCCUAUCAGCUUGUUGGUGAGGUAACGGCUCACCAAGGCGACGACGGGUAGCCGACCUGAGAGGGUGACCGGCCACACUGGGACUGAGACACGGCCCAGACUCCUACGGGAGGCAGCAGUGGGGAAUAUUGCACAAUGGGCGAAAGCCUGAUGCAGCGACGCCGCGUGCGGGAUGACGGCCUUCGGGUUGUAAACCGCUUUUGACAGGGACGAAGCGCGAGUGACUGUACCUGUAGAAUAAGGACCGGCCAACUACGUG
rnacentral:rRNA from 1 species